CACUCAACAUGCUGUGAUAAUUAAUUAAACAUCAGACAUCUUUCCUGCAGGCACGAAAGAGUACUGUCCACCUGAGUUCAACUUGAAGGGCAGGUACCAAGCAAAGCCAACCACAGUGUGGACACUAGGGUUCAUCUUGUUUGAAAUGCUGUGCGGGGAUUGCCCUACAUCCAACGACCGACACAAGAUCACUGUGAACCUCUGGACCAGACCUGGCUUGUCAAAAGAAUGCUGCCAGAUGAUUUGUGAUUGUCUGCAGCCUGGUCCACAGAAGAGACUCAGUCUGGACAAGAUGCAUCUCCACGACUGGUUUAAGGUCACAGAGUAAAACACAACCUCAGAAAACAACUCAUGUCAUGGCCACCCUGUUGUUUUCUGUCUUCAGUCAGCUUUGCGUCUGGUGGACUGACAAGAGUGGCCU